AAGAAAAGUAAACCAGAGUUAGAGCUUGCUCAUUCAUGGAUCAAAACUUGCAAUUCUACUUAAACAUAUCUUGGCGAAAAUAGCUUUCAGCGGUUAAGCAGAAUCGACAUGGCGAGUGGCCUUGGCAGCUUCUACUGAUUCACUUUCUAUAUCAGAAACGUCGUCUUUUGUUCGGUAGCUGUGCGUUGGCUUUUCUGUUUUAUGAUCGUUUCUUGGACGAUGAAGGUUUAGUUAACCCUCCUUGGCAAACUUGUGAGCCCCACGUUUUCCGCCAUGAAUAAGAGUUUCCCAAGAACGACCGUGAAGACUUUCCUGUUUUAUAAAAAAAAACCAAAAAAAAGGAAAAAGACAAAGAAUGUCCUUGGGUGUCGAUGACUCGAGGAUAGAUCUCGAUUUUUCCAAAAUGGAGGCCUUUUUGAACAACAUAUGGAAACCAUUUCCACCCUUUAUUUGGUGUGAAACAAGUGAACGCGAGGUACUCUUUUUUGUUAACGUUUUCUGGAUGCCCGCCCUUGUAUUCCGAACACUGGUAUGCAUGCCGUCAAGACACGAGAGAUUUCAGCUCUUAGAUUUAUUUUAAGAAUGAACAGCCAAAGUUGAUACUGUUCACGUUGAACUGUGGAAUGUCACCUUUGCUAAGCACUAUGCUAUUUUAAAAUCAUAUGAUCUAAAAUUAAUAGCAGCUGUCCCCGUAUUUACAGUGAACCGUAACUACGUCAACUACUUUCAAUUUCGAAAAAUAUCGCUCUGACAUCCUUACUCGUUCAAGCAUUCAAAUACGGUAACCAAUGCAUUUCAGCACAAUCAAACAACUGAAAGAGAAUCGUAGUUUUUGGGCUAACCUGAUGACCCAAUGCUAGACCCUGUUUCCCCAUCAAAGCAUCAUAGCCUACUUAUUUACAAGCUGGCUAUGUUUUCCGCUAUGGCACCAAGUCAUUCCGUUUUCUCACUAUAUUAUGCCCUUUAAAUCCGCCAGGCAGAACUAUUUUGGUCUAGAAAACUAGAACCAUCACAACUACUACUGCAUGAAUGCCAAAAAGAUCGGUACCAAAAGCAAUUCAGUGUCGAUGAAGCAUAUCAAAGACAAACCCUAUUCUCUUUCAUAGCUAUCUCAACCAGUUUUAUGUAAAAAAAUGUGUUGGGUCUGAGUCAUAAAAUCCCAGUUGCAUAGCGAUUGAAGAAAAAUAGUGAGCCACGUCUACACGUCAUGGGGUUUGCUACUGUCCAGACAAUCCUCAGACAUUUCCCCUUUUGUAUGGAGAACCGUUCAUCGUCGGCUCUUCAUCACAGACACACCGCAAAGAAUCAAUUAGAAAUGCUUAGACCAUUUAAAAAUUUUUACAUUAAUUAACCCAACUUUUUCAAUUUACAUUUGAUGGAACUCACAUAUUUCUUUAACGUUCAAUAGUUUAUUAAUGUCGUCCAGCAUUGUUGAUUGCGACACAUUACCAUCAAAGAGAUGCUGGUAAGCAAAUCUCAAUUAUAAUUGUUAACAAAAUCAAAGGUGCCGUAGACAGUCAGUCUUUUACACGUAACGUCCUGUCACGUGACGUCACGUAAUUUCCUGAUGGUGAAAUCGUCUAGAUAGCUAAAUAAUCCCCAUUGUUACAAGCUAGGACUCGGUUACCCGAGACCCGGUUACUAUCGGAAGGUACUGACACAACACAAAACAAAAUUACGAAUGAAAAAAACAUUUUCGUGUGUCGCGCUACUAUCUUCCAGUAGUAAAUGCCAGUAGUAAAUAGUAAAUGCUCCUGAACCCUAGUAAAUAUUUUGCCAAUAGAUGGCAAUGCGACGUUUAAGAAGGUUCGAUUUCAAAACCUGGCAACACUAGUUAGUUCCGUACAUGGUUCCGUAUAACUCAAUAGUUCCGUAUAACUCAAUAGUUCCGUAUAACUCAAGUACUCAACAGCUCACGGUGUUCGCGAAGUACCCCAUAAGGCGAUAGCCUUAGAGAAACCAAAAAUCACACGGUAUUAUCAUAAUUGAAAACUGAUUUCACUUAAGUUAUUGGUUUUCUCGUCAAACCAGCCGUUUUUAAAUUAAACAAAAAUCAGAUGAUGGUAGCGCACGAACUCUGUUUAUUAGCAGCUUAUUAGAUGCUUGUGUAAUAGCAUUGAAGAAUGGUGAUUUUAACUACUCCUAUUAUUACUGUUUUUUUAUUAUGUAAAACUAAUUCCACCUUCAAACAAAAAUCGAGUGUAUGAUGCAAAUAAUCAUGAAAAGAAGUGUUUAUCAGUUUGUUACAAAAAGUGGCAAAUUUGAGUGUUGUAACGAAGAGAAUGUUUCAAGCAGACGAACUGUUUGGCAAAAAUUUGUUUUUGUCACUGGCAUCGUCAUCUAGCGGCAAUUUUCCAGGAAAAUAAGCCGACUUUUACUUUUUUUUUUCAAUUAUGUGUAUAUUGCGAUAAAUUACAUGAUUUGUAUUCGAAAUUCAACGACAAUGUCGAAAAUUAGAACAAUUUGACUUGGAAGAAACAGUAAGAGUUAUUUUUUUUACAAGAAAGUCUGGCUUACUUCGCUAUGGAAAGCUGUCCCGUCAGCUGUUUCAUUUCGCGUGGCUUUGGACUGAUGAUGGAUGCUUAAACAAACGUCUAUCUUCUCAAAAUUUAUCCACCAAUUCCGUGUGUUUUGAGCUGCAUCUUGUGAAUUCAAUCAAUGCAGAGAUUUUUAAGGAGGAGCAUGGCCUGGCUUUGCUAGCACGUUUUUUAUCUCCGUUAGUCUAAUACACACACUGUACCGAAGGUCUUUGGGAUAUACCUGAUGUACUGUGGUGGCCGCAGUAUCAUUCAGUGACAGAAAGGAAUGCCAUCAAUGUUCUCUUGUCAGUUUAAUACAAGAUUUCCAGUAUUAA